rnacentral:lncRNA from 1 species
AUAUGGUAACUGAAGAUCAGGGAAGUGGCUUGCUCAGUCAUAGAGGUCAUCUUAGAGAGGACUCAAACCCAGGCCUUCUGACUUCAAGGAUUUUACUCUUUCUCCUGUGUCACCCAUGAGUAAAUUUAUCUCUGUUCUCCAGAAGAGGAAACUGAUGUACUGGAAAGGGACUCAUGAUAUUCAUGUUGAACACAUGUGGGCAUCCAGUUAGCAUAGUUCAUUGCUUUGGAGAACUCCUGAGCUCAAGAGAUUCCCCCAUCACUAGUCUCUCCCAAGAGCAGAGAUUAGAGAUGCAUCUGCCCCAGCCAAGAACCUGUCAUUCUUAUAUUUUAAGAAGGAGAAAGCAAAGGCUGAGAUUCCAAUGGCUGGACAUGCCUAAAGGAUGGAGGGAGCUUUGGAUUCCCAGAUCUUUGCACCAGGAAGUGGUACCCAAGCACUUUCCAGGCAUUUUUGUAGGAUCUGUGUGUAAGGGUAGAAGGCUGCAAAUAAAUGAACAGAAUUCAAGGCCAUAA